AGAACGCUCUUCAGGCGGGACUUUGAUGCGCAUACGUGAACUACGUCACCAAUCACGUGAUCGACUUCGACAGACUCGGGCCAAGAUGCAAGGGAGGGGACCUGUGUCACCUUUUAUUGUAACAAAAUAUACAUACGUGAUCGAAAUGAUGACAUAUGCGCGAACCAGAUGAUCUGACAAAGGCUGAUCUCUUCGCUGUCGAUUG